rnacentral:rRNA from 1 species
UACGAAGGGGGCUAGCGUUGUUCGGAAUUACUAGGCGUAAAGGGCGCGUAGGCGGCCCGUUCAGUCAGAUGUGAAAGCCCCGGGCUCAACCUGGGAACUGCAUUUGAUACUGGCGGGCUUGAGUUCCGGAGAGGAUGGUGGAAUUCCCAGUGUAGAGGUGAAAUUCGUAGAUAUUGGGAAGAACACCGGUGGCGAAGGCGGCCAUCUGGACGGACACUGACGCUGAGGCGCGAAAGCGUGGGGAGCAAACAGG